UACGUAGGGUGCGAGCGUUGUCCGGAAUUAUUGGGCGUAAAGAGCGUGUAGGCGGCCAGAUAAGUCCGCUGUGAAAUCUCGAGGCUCAACUUCGAGCUGUCGGUGGAAACUAUCUGGCUAGAGUCCGGAAGAGGAGAAUGGAAUUCCUGGUGUAGCGGUGAAAUACGCAGAUAUCAGGAAGAACACCCGUGGCGAAGGCGGUUCUCUGGGACGGUACUGACGCUGAGACGCGAAAGCGUGGGGAGCGAACAGG
rnacentral:rRNA from 1 species